rnacentral:rRNA from 1 species
CAUCUCCUACGGGGGGCAGCAGUAGGGAAUCUUUCACAAUGGGCGAAAGCCUGAUGGAGCAACGCCGCGUGCGGGAUGACGGCCCUCGGGUUGUAAACCGCUUUCAGCAGGGAAGAUAUUGACGGUACCUGCAGAAGAAGCUCCGGCUAACUACGUGCCAGCAGCCGCGGUAAUACGUAGGGAGCGAGCGUUAUCCGGAUUCAUUGGGCGUAAAGCGCGCGUAGGCGGCUGCCUAAGCGGAACCUCUAACCCCGGGGCUCAACCUCGGGCCGGGUUCCGAACUGGGCGGCUCGAGUGCGGUAGAG